UCUCCGUUGGUGAACCAGCGGAGGGAUCAUUAUCGAGUUUACAACUCCCAAACCCUAUGUGAACUUACCACUUGUUGCUUCGGCGCGCGCUUCGGCGCCGCCGAGGACACUUAAACUCUUUGUUUUUAUAAGCAUUUCUGAGUGGCCGAAAGGCAAAAUACAAAUGAAUCAAAACUUUCAACAACGGAUCUCUUGGUUCUG
rnacentral:misc_RNA from 1 species